UACGGAGGGUGCAAGCGUUAAUCGGAAUUACUGGGCGUAAAGCGCACGCAGGUGGCUGAGUCAGUCGAUUGUGAAAGCCCUGGGCUUAACCUGGGAAUUGCAGUCGAUACUACUCGGCUCGAGUAUGGGAGAGGGCAGUGGAAUUCCAGGUGUAGCGGUGAAAUGCGUAGAUAUCUGGAGGAACACCGGUGGCGAAGGCGGCAUCCUGGACCGACACUGACACUGAGGAGCGAAAGCCAGGGGAGCAAACGGG
rnacentral:rRNA from 1 species